UCACCCUCAUCGCGAAACCCAUUUCUGCUUGCCAAUGCGGGAUUUCUCUAUUUUUCCUCAAUGAUCUAAGGUCUCGCCUUGGCAUCAUUCAUCAAGAACGGUUCUUUUCGAAGGAGCUGUGAGAAGUAACAUUGCAGUGGACAAUAAUGGAGAUAACUGGAGUUUGGAGUAGAGGCAGCUUCUUUGCUUAUGGCAGGUUGAGAAUAUGGCUGACAGGAUGGUUAAAUGGUUGAAAGGUGGUGGUUUUCUCUUCCUUGGAGAGUAUUCUUUUAAUCAAUCAGUUGAUUUUCAAAAGAAAAACAGCCCCACACGCUAUCAUGAACCAAGAUUUUAUUCAAAGGUUAAAUUUGUCAAUGGAAAUUCUAAGGAUGCAACCUCACCAACUGUCAUAGAGUCGAUUGGAAACCUGGAAACACUUGAAGGUAUUGCUAUGAGACAAGCAAGGGAAAGAUGUGUUGGUUGUUUGUAUGCAAAUAUAGAACCCAACAUUAUUAAUAAAAUUUGUUGUCUA